rnacentral:rRNA from 1 species
UACGGAGGAUGCAAGCGUUAUCCGAAAUGAUUGGGCGUAAAGCGUCCGCAGGUGGCUAUGUAAGUCUGCUGUUAAAGAGUGAGGCUCAACCUCAUAAGAGCAGUGGAAACUACAUGGCUAGAGUGCGUUCGGGGCAGAGGGAAUUCCUGGUGUAGCGGUGAAAUGCGUAGAGAUCAGGAAGAACACCGGUGGCGAAAGCGCUCUGCUAGGCCGCAACUGACACUGAGGGACGAAAGCUAGGGGAGCGAAUGGG